GACCGGUGACGUCGACAGCCGAGCACCACCCGAACAAGGAGAGGCAUCGACUUCGGCAGAAGUCAUGACAUUCACAGUAUCAAAGGCCUUUUUAAGAUCCAAAAAGACUGUUCUGACGUCACCACCUAUGUCCAGUUUAGAUUUAAUGCACUCCCGAAAAUAGCAAUUUGGUGUUUCGGUAGAAGGGUUAGUUCUGAAUCCAAAUUGCAUUUGAUGAAUGGAGUUGCCCUGAAUGAGGUGAUCAGUCAGAGGAUCAGCCAACCAUCUUUCAGCUACUUUUGAUAGCAUUGGAAGAAUGCUUACAGGCUGGAACCACUUUGGCUGAAUAUCUACACUAGGCGAACAAAGAACAAGAGACUCGAACCCUUUGUUCUGAGUCUCGGGGACAAUCACUUCUUCUCCCUGGCAUUCAUGAAUGGGCAGGCUCUGGAGCAGAAGAUAUCAUGUUUCGUUGUUGUUUUACAUAUAUUCCUAUUGAAAAUUGAUACCUGGUCGGGGUUGAGGGAGUAGAGGGUAAAGUGUUUACUUUUCUUCAGCCCCUUUCCUCAGCUUUAAUUGGUAGGGCUGCUUUGAUUUUUACAUUUUGGAUUGUGCUUCUAAAGGAGUUGUUUGUUUGUGUGUUCCUUAUUUGUUUAUCUUUUGUAGCUGAAAUUAAUAUCUGAAAUAAACGUUUUGUAUUUUAUCGACAAUUUGUCAAGAUUGGCCAUACAGUGUGUCAGUGUUUUAAGAAUUUCAUAGACUAUGUAGUAACAUUGAUUGUUAUUGUUAGAAGUAUUUGUACCUUUAGAAAAUGUAUAGAUUCUGUAAUAGAGUGCCUUGACUUUUAUUUUUACCAAAAGGUCAAUUAAUAUUUCAGAACAGUGUAUGGAUUCUUUAGACAUUCAGAAUAGUUGAAAAAAAUGCAAAUUAUUACUAACCCAAACACACUGAGGAGCAAUUACUAUCUGCAAAGUAGUUCAAAUGGUGUCAGUUCCUGUUUAAACUUUAGGUCACCGGUUACUUGCUAAACGUGAAAUGUUUUUUGCAACGGGAAGUAAUAGUUGUACAUUUCGAUUGGGAAAUGCUUAAUGGUUGUGUUUUUGUAUUCUUAUAAUUGGGACCUACUGGUUUAUUUUGUCAGAGUUUAUGGACUAUGUAUCCUUUAACAUCAUGCUAUGUGUGACUGCUGUCUUCCCAUCUGCCCUAUGCAGCGGUGUAGUGGUGCCUGGAGAAGUGGGUAUACUAUCAUUUGGACAAAAAGUUCCCAAACAGCCCUCCCAGCAAAAGCUACCCUGUGUGAAAAAUCCUUUUUUAAUAGCUGGUUUGCAUACCCAUUGUUGUCUUAGUUAGCAUUUACUGGUAGAUAUCACAAGUUGAAACGUCUUUCCUACCCUACCGGCUACCGUGCAUGAUUUCUCGAUUGUCCUACAUAAUUGAUAAAUCAUUUUCCUCCACUACACUACUUUGAUACACAUCAGUGGGGAUUAAGAAGUACGUAAUGCCUACUGAAUACGGUUUAUAUACAGUAUUUGGUUUAUAUAUUUGGUUUAUAUAUUUGGCCUGGCGAAGCGAUUUUAUGCUCUGACUGAAUGGAAGCUGAUAAUUAUGAGUUAUUUUACUCUGCGGGUCUCGGGCCGGUCUCGGGAAGAAAUUAUGAGUCCUCACUGUCAGAGACUGGGUCAAGACCAAGCACAAAUGUAUCCAACACAGAGACAAGACCGAGACACUCAAUAUGUGGUCUCAAAACCGGACUCGAGACCGGUCUCGAGUACUACAACACUGGGUGGCCGUACUCAUUUUGGGUGCUGGUAUAGGUGUCAGUACUCAUUUUGGGUGCUGGUAUAGGUGUCAGUACUCAUUUUGACAGUGGUGGAAAAAGUACCCAAUUGUCAUACUUCAGUAAAAAUAAACAUACCUUAAUAGAAAAUGACUCAGUCACCCAGCAAAAUACUACUUGGAUAAAAGUCUAAAAGUAUUUGGUUUUAAAUAUAUUUAAGUAUCAAAAGUAAAUGUAAUUGCUAAAAUAUACUUAGGUAUCAAAAGUACAAGUAUACAGUGAGGGAAAAAAGUAUUUGAUCCCCUGCUGAUUUUGUACGUUUGCCCACUGACAAAGAAAUGAUCAGUCUAUAAUUUUAAUGGUAGGUUUAUUUGAACAGUGAGAGACAGAAUAAGAACAUCCAGAAAAACGCAUGUCAAAAAUGUUAUAAAUUGAUUUGCAUUUUAAGGUGCUGAAUAAGUAUUUGACCCCCU